rnacentral:rRNA from 1 species
GACGAACCGUGCGAACGUUGUUCGGAUUCACUGGGCUUAAAGGGCGCGUAGGCGGCUGGCCAAGUCAGGGGUGAAAUCUUUCGGCUCAACCGGAAAACAGCCUUUGAUACUGGCCGGCUGGAGGAGGGUAGGGGCAGAUGGAACUUCCGGUGGAGCGGUGAAAUGCGUAGAUAUCGGAAGGAACGCCGGUGGCGAAAGCGAUCUGCUGGACCCUUUCUGACGCUGAGGCGCGAAAGCCAGGGGAGCAAACGGG